rnacentral:rRNA from 1 species
UAAGUGAAGAGUUUGAUCCUGGCUCAGAGUGAACGCUGGCGGUAGGCCUAACACAUGCAAGUCGAACGGCAGCACAGGAGAGCUUGCUCUCUGGGUGGCGAGUGGCGGACGGGUGAGGAAUACAUCGGAAUCUACUCUGUCGUGGGGGAUAACGUAGGGAAACUUACGCUAAUACCGCAUACGACCUACGGGUGAAAGCAGGGGACCUUCGGGCCUUGCGCGAUUGAAUGAGCCGAUGUCGGAUUAGCUAGUUGGCGGGGUAAAGGYCCACCAAGGCGACGAUCCGUAGCUGGUCUGAGAGGAUGAUCAGCCACACUGGAACUGAGACACGGUCCAGACUCCUACGGGAGGCAGCAGUGGGGAAUAUUGGACAAUGGGCGCAAGCCUGAUCCAGCCAUACCGCGUGGGUGAAGAAGGCCUUCGGGUUGUAAAGCCCUUUUGUUGGGAAAGAAAUCCAGCUGGCUAAUACCGGUUGGGAUGACGGUACCCAAAGAAUAAGCACCGGCUAACUUCGUGCCAGCAGCCGCGGUAAUACGAAGGGUGCAAGCGUUACUCGGAAUUACUGGGCGUAAAGCGUGCGUAGGUGGUCGUUUAAGUCCGUUGUGAAAGCCCUGGGCUCAACCUGGGAACUGCAGUGGAUACUGGGCGACUAGAAUGUGGUAGAGGGUAGCGGAAUUCCUGGAGUAGCAGUGAAAUGCGUAGAGAUCAGGAG